CCCCCUCGACCGAACCCUAGCCCCCCUCGACCGAACCCUAGCCCCCACUCGAACUCCUCCCCUUUCCCUUUGGUCACAACUUGGAGUUCGCCUGAUCUCAUGGUCGCCAUGCCGUCGUCGUAGCCGCGACCACCGUGCGCCUCUUCGCCGGGGGAGACCUCCAGCAGAACCGUCGUCGUCCACUUCUUCAUCUCCACCCACGAGAUCGAGCCCGGAGCCACCGCAUCGACCGGAUGAGGUCUUCUUCAAGCUCUGCCCCGCCGCUCAUCAUCUUCGAUUUCGACCUCAUUGAAGCCUCCCCGAGCCGCUGACUUUCUCUACAGCUGCGAUACGUUGGAGCCCAGAUCCAGAUGCACCUUCGACGAUGACUCC